rnacentral:misc_RNA from 1 species
GAUGAAGAACGUAGCGAAAUGCGAUACGUAAUGUGAAUUGCAGAAUUCAGUGAAUCAUCGAGUCUUUGAACGCACAUUGCGCCCUCUGGUAUUCCGGAGGGCAUGCCUGUCCGAGCGUCAUUGCUGCCCUCAAGCACGGCUUGUGUGUUGGGCCCCGCCCCCCGAUCCCGGGGGGCGGGCCCGAAGGGCAGCGGCGGCACCGCGUCCGGUCCUCGAGCGUAUGGGGCUUUGUCACCCGCUCUGUAGGCCCGGCCGGCGCUUGCCGAUCAACCAAACUUUUUUCCAGGUUGACCUCGGAUCAGGUAGGGAUACCCGCUGAACUUAAGCAUAUCAAUAAGCGGAGGA